CGUCGGGAAACUGACGCUAAUACCGCAUAAUGACUACGGUCCAAAGAUUUAUCGCCCAAGGAUCAGCCCGCGUUAGAUUAGGUAGUUGGUGGGGUAAUGGCCUACCAAGCCGACGAUCUAUAGCUGGUCUUAGAUGAUGAUCAGCCACACUGGGACUGAGACACGGCCCAGACUCCUACGGGAGGCAGCAGUGAGGAAUCUUGGACAAUGGGGGAAACCCUGAUCCAGCCAUGCCGCGUGAGUGAUGAAGGCCUUCGGGUUGUAAAGCUCUUUCAGAUGUGAAGAUAAUGACGGUAGCAUCAGAAGAAG
rnacentral:rRNA from 1 species